rnacentral:rRNA from 1 species
CCCCCAAGAGUUCACAUCGACGGGGAGGUUUGGCACCUCGAUGUCGGCUCAUCGCAUCCUGGGGCUGUAGUCGGUCCCAAGGGUUGGGCUGUUCGCCCAUUAAAGCGGUACGCGAGCUGGGUUCAGAACGUCGUGAGACAGUUCGGUCCCUAUCCGUCGUGGGCGUAGGAAAUUUGAGAGGAGCUGUCCUUAGUACGAGAGGACCGGGAUGGACAUACCUCUGGUGUACCAGUUGUCGUGCCAACGGCAUAGCUGGGUAGCUAUGUGUGGACGGGAUAAGUGCUGAAAGCAUCUAAGCAUGAAGCCCCCCUCAAGAUGAGAUUUCCCAACUUCGGUUAUAAGAUCCCUUAAAGAUGAUGAGGUUAAUAGGUUCGAGGUGGAAGCAUGGUGACAUGUGUAGCUGACGAAUACUAAUCGAUCGAAGACUUAAUCAA